AUGCUGCUCCAGGAGACGAGGACGCUUCAUGUACGUGUUAAAGCUGUACAAUUUAGGCUUUUAUACUACAUAUCUAACUUCAUAUUGUUCUUGUAGUCAAUUUCAAUUCAUAUCAGUUCUUGAAGUCAUGUACAUACAAACAAGCUCGACUUAUAGUGCAUGUAGAAGCUGAGAUGUGUAGUCUUAACAAAUUUUAAAUAAAGAAAAACACCAAAUAGCAGUCAAAACAAAACCAAGCAAGUAAAACAAGAUGUAGC
rnacentral:lncRNA from 1 species